UGGUGGAGUGAUUUGUCUGGUUAAUUCCGAUAACGAACGAGACCUUAACCUGCUAAAUAGCUAGGCUGCUUCUUAAGCGGUCGUCAGCUUCUUAGAGGGACUGUUGUGCGAUUAGCCAACGGAAGUUUGAGGCAAUAACA
rnacentral:rRNA from 1 species